CCUGGCUCAGGAUGAACGCUAGCUACAGGCUUAACACAUGCAAGUCGAGGGGCAGCAUGGUCUUAGCUUGCUAAGACUGAUGGCGACCGGCGCACGGGUGAGUAACACGUAUCCAACCUGCCGUCUACUCUUGGACAGCCUUCUGAAAGGAAGAUUAAUACAAGAUGGCAUCAUGAGUCCGCAUGUUCACAUGAUUAAAGGUAUUCCGGUAGACGAUGGGGAUGCGUUCCAUUAGAUAGUAGGCGGGGUAACGGCCCACCUAGUCUUCGAUGGAUAGGGGUUCUGAGAGGAAGGUCCCCCACAUUGGAACUGAGACACGGUCCAAACUCCUACGGGAGGCAGCAGUGAGGAAUAUUGGUCAAUGGGCGAGAGCCUGAACCAGCCAAGUAGCGUGAAGGAUGACUGCCCUAUGGGUUGUAAACUUCUUUUAUAAAGGAAUAAAGUCGGGUAUGGAUACCCGUUUGCAUGUACUUUAUGAAUAAGGAUCGGCUAACUCCGUGCCAGCAGCCGCGGUAAUACGGAGGAUCCGAGCGUUAUCCGGAUUUAUUGGGUUUAAAGGGAGCGUAGAUGGAUGUUUAAGUCAGUUGUGAAAGUUUGCGGCUCAACCGUAAAAUUGCAGUUGAUACUGGAUAUCUUGAGUGCAGUUGAGGCAGGCGGAAUUCGUGGUGUAGCGGUGAAAUGCUUAGAUAUCACGAAGAACUCCGAUUGCGAAGGCAGCCUGCUAAGCUGCAACUGACAUUGAGGCUCGAAAGUGUGGGUAUCAAACAGGAUUAGAUACCCUGGUAGUCCACACGGUAAACGAUGAAUACUCGCUGUUUGCGAUAUACUGCAAGCGGCCAAGCGAAAGCGUUAAGUAUUCCACCUGGGGAGUACGCCGGCAACGGUGAAACUCAAAGGAAUUGACGGGGGCCCGCACAAGCGGAGGAACAUGUGGUUUAAUUCGAUGAUACGCGAGGAACCUUACCCGGGCUUAAAUUGCAGAUGAAUUACGGUGAAAGCCGUAAGCCGCAAGGCAUCUGUGAAGGUGCUGCAUGGUUGUCGUCAGCUCGUGCCGUGAGGUGUCGGCUUAAGUGCCAUGACGAGCGCAACCCUUGUUGUCAGUUACUAACAGGUUCCGCUGAGGACUCUGACAAGACUGCCAUCGUAAGAUGUGAGGAAGGUGGGGAUGACGUCAAAUCAGCACGGCCCUUACGUCCGGGGCUACACACGUGUUACAAUGGGGGGUACAGAGGGCCGCUACCACGCGAGUGGAUGCCAAUCCCCAAAACCUCUCUCAGUUCGGACUGGAGUCUGCAACCCGACUCCACGAAGCUGGAUUCGCUAGUAAUCGCGCAUCAGCCACGGCGCGGUGAAUACGUUCCCGGGCCUUGUACACACCGCCC
rnacentral:rRNA from 1 species